GUUUGAUCCUGGCUCAGGAUGAACGCUGGCGGUCUGCUUAACACAUGCAAGUCGAACGGAGUACUUCGGUACUUAGUGGCGGACGGGUGAGUAACGCGUGAGGAUCUGCCCUCAGGAGGGGGACAACGACUGGAAACGGUCGCUAAUACCCCAUAUGCCGAGAGGUGAAAUGUUUUUUCGCCUGAGGAUGAGCUCGCGUCAGAUUAGCUAGUUGGUGGGGUAACGGCCUACCAAGGCGACGAUCUGUAGCUGGUCUGAGAGGAUGAUCAGCCACACUGGGACUGAGACACGGCCCAGACUCCUACGGGAGGCAGCAGUGGGGAAUUUUCCGCAAUGGGCGAAAGCCUGACGGAGCAAGACCGCGUGAGGGAUGACGGCCUAAUGGUUGUAAACCUCUUUUCUCUGGGAAGAUAAUGACGGUACCAGAGGAAUAAGCCUCGGCUAACUCCGUGCCAGCAGCCGCGGUAAUACGGAGGAGGCAAGCGUUAUCCGGAAUUAUUGGGCGUAAAGCGUCCGUAGGUGGUUAAUCAAGUCAGCUGUUAAAGAGCGGAGCUUAACUCCGUUAGAGCGGUUGAAACUGAUUGACUAGAGUUUGGUAGGGGUCGAGGGAAUUCCCAGUGUAGCGGUGAAAUGCGUAGAUAUUGGGAAGAACACCGGUGGCGAAAGCGCUCGACUGGGCCUGAACUGACACUGAGGGACGAAAGCUAGGGGAGCGAAAGGGAUUAGAUACCCCUGUAGUCCUAG
rnacentral:rRNA from 1 species